GCCUGGGUGGCUCAGUCGGUUGGGCGUCUGACUUCAGCUCAGGUCACGAUCUCGCGGUCCGUGAGUUCGAGCCCCCCGUCAGGCU
rfam:Felis catus isolate Cinnamon breed Abyssinian chromosome A3, whole genome shotgun sequence.